AUCUGGUUGAUCCUGCCAGAGGCUACCGCUAUUGGAGUUCGAUUAAGCCAUGCGAGUCGAGAGUCUUAGGGACUCGGCGUACCGCUCAGUAACACGUGGGUAACCUGCCCUAUGCUGGGGGAUAACCUCGGGAAACUGAGAAUAAUGCCCCAUAGUCCACAAUGCCUGGAACGGUUUGUGGAUUAAAGCCCCGGCGGCAUAGGAUGGGCCUGCGGCGUAUCAGGUUGUAGGGGGUGUAACGUACCCUCUAGCCAUCAACGCGUACGGGUGUUGGGAGACAUAGCCCGGAGAUGGAUUCUGAGACACGAAUCCAGACCCUACGGGGUGCAGCAGGCGCGAAAACUUGGCAAUGCGAGAAAUCGUGACCAGGGAACUCCAAGUGGCUGGGGUAAGACCCAGUCUUUUCUUGACUCUUCAAAGGUCUUGGAAUAAGAGGUGGGUAAGGACGGUGCCAGCCGCCGCGGUAAUACCGGCACCUCACGUGGUAGUCGAUUUUAUUGGGCCU
rnacentral:rRNA from 1 species